GUUAUGUUAUUCUAUUAUUAAACAGUUUUCAUCACUUAUAUAUAGCUCGCAGCAAAUGCACAACCGCCAGUGGUUUUGGGAGCUCUGGCUGGAUUUAGCUGGUAUCGGUUCAGUUCAUGCACAAUAUUAGCAGGUUUGUUCCUCCUUCCUCUCCUGUUUUCAUGUUUCUUUCUUCUUUGAUUCGUAAAUUUAAUUCGUAUUGAGGCUUAGAAAUUGGUAGCAAUAUGAUUAAUUUUGUAUUUUGAAUAUACACGGGGAUUAAAGGAAGUAGAUGAGCCUGUUUCAGGCAUUUAAUCUGCUAGAAUUUGUGCUUACUUAUCCGAAAUAGAACUAAAUUUGGCAAUGUAUCAUGGGGUAAUGUUUAUUUGAUGCCAAAUGAGUUAAAGGUUUAUUUUUCUCACAGCUUUAGUUCAACAAUCAAAGGAAUAACUUGGGACCUGGUUUUAACCGGAGAAAAAUAGAGUGACUGGUUCAUUAUCUACUGACUUUCAAAACUAGAAACAACGGAUUUUUCGAUUAUAGAAACUAAGAGUUAAAAGUUUGUUGAAAUAAAUGAACUCUUCAGUAGUUUUUAAAUGGAAUAAUAAUCAUGUGCCAUCAAUUAAUAUAAGUCAUUGUGGGAAAAAGAAAAAGGGAAAGCUUACCAUUUACUGGUUCAUUUCUUAGUUCAAAACAGAGAAUAGUAAAAGUUAUAUAGACAAGGGAAAAGUGAGUCUCGUGUUACUUUUCAUGGUAAGUGAAAUGUAUGAAGUUCCAAUGGUGGAUAUUGAUCUGGACAUUAACAUAGCGUUAUGUAGAGGAAGAGGCAAACCCGAAAAUAAAGAAGAUAAAUAACAUCAAAUUUUAACGUGAAAAACCCUUCAAAUCGGAGUUAAAAACCACGGGAUCACAAAGAUCCAAAAAGCUCCACUGUAACAAUAAGAGAGUUACAGAAGUUCUCCAAAUUGGCAAUACAACAAGUGUCAAACACGGAGCAACAAUAACAACAAGAGCACCAACUAAUCAAUUGAAGAAAGAGUAUAAUCCACAAAAAUAAAGAUGUUGUUCGAGGCAAGAAAUCAGAUAGCUACGAGCCUCUAAAUCUGAUCUCAAGCGUUCAAAUCCAAGACAAAGAUGUUAUAAAGCUCUGUCAAAGAGGCACGAAAUCAGAUGCUAAGAACCUCCAAAUACGAUCUCCACCGUUCAAAUCCAAGAUCAAGAUGUUGCGAACAGUCAGUCAAAAUUUCAGCCCGAACCAACGGUUAACGAAUCGAAAAACGUGAUUUGAAUAUUGGCUGAUCAGAAUAAAAAUCUGCAGCAAAACUAAUUUUUUUGUUCUCUCUUCUCUCUUGACGAAAGCUCUCUCAAAAACCACUCUUAUGUGCCUAAGUCUUUCAAAGACUUGUAUCAAUAAGCAUAGAAUAAUUCUCCAAGGUUGUCCUAUUUAUAGAUCAUGAGUGGUGCUUUCUCUUAAAGCCAAAACCCACUCAAAAUAGGAUUAAACUGAAUCCAAUUCCGAAUAGGAUUGGAAACCAAAAAAGAAUAGGAUUAUGCCAUUGGGCCUUUGGCUGGACAACAUGCCCAACAAAAUCCCCCUCCAGCCAAGGGACCAAAUGUAUCUUUAAGUAGAGGAACUAUUGACAGGCUUCAUGCCUGCCAAUUUUCUACAAAAUUCAUGUUUAUCUGCAAGCUUAACUAUAAAGUCCUCAUACUGCUCCAUAUAAAUUACCUCAUCUAACUCAACAUGAAGAAAAACAGUCUCGACAUCCAUCUUCAACCUCUAAAUCUAGACAUACAGUUAAGCCUAGAACCACACGAAUAGAAGACAUCUUCACAAUAUGGGAGAAAAUUUCAUCAAAGUCAACUCCCUUCUUCUGGUCAAAACCUUUAACAACUAACUCGCCUUGUAUCUAGGCGCAUAGGUAUGGUUAUCUUACUUUAUUAUGAAUAUCCAUUUGUUAGAUAAAGCUCUCUUACCUUUCGGCAAAUUUACUAACUCAUAUGUGCCAUUCUCGUGGAGUGACUUCAUCUCAUCUUCCAUCGCCUCAAUCCACUGAUAUUUGUGAGUAUCAUGCAUGGCUUCAUCAUAAUUCUCAGGUUCUCCCAUGUCAGUCAAAAGUACACACUCGUCAGGAGGAUAACGCAUAGAUUUUUGCUUCUCCCUUGUAGAUCUUCUAAGAGAGGUUUCAGGAGCAUUCAAAGUAGGUACCUGUGCAGGAGUUGGUUGCUGAUCAACCACAACUUCAUCAACUGGAGCAUCCAUAACAUCUACACCAUGAUGAUUAUUUUGAUCUUGAUCACUAUGUCCAUCAUUGUUUUGGGUACCUUCAUGUGCAAUAGGUGCCUUAGCAAUUGAAACUGGAUCAAUAUCAACUAAGCUCUCAUUACUCUGAGAAUCUAUCUUCNNNNNNNNNNNNNNNNNNNNNNNNNNNNNNNNNNNNNNNNNNNNNNNNNNNNNNNNNNNNNNNNNNNNNNNNNNNNNNNNNNNNNNNNNNNAAUAUUGCAUCACGACUUCUAAUAAGUUUAUUGUCAACUGGAUCAUAAAAACGAUACCCAAACUCAUCUUGACCAUAAUCGAUAAAGAUGCACUGCUUAGUUUUGACAUCCAGUUUCGAUCUCUCAUCUUUAGGAACAUGGAUACAAGCUUUACGCCCAAAAACUCUCAAGUGAUCAUAAGAAAUAUCUUUGGCAAACCAAACUCUGUCCGGGACAUAACCAUCUAAAGCAACUGCAGGAGACAAAUUGAUAACAUAGGCAACAGUGUUAAGCUAAGUUGCUCGAACACGACACUUUCGGUGUCGUACCCGUGUCGAUACGACACUAACACGGGUAAGGGUGUGGGAUCUGCGUUGGAUCCGGUCAAAAUAGAUCGGGUGCGUUGACCAAAAAUUUGGGAAAAUUAAUUUUCCUAAGUAAAGAUUUGAAGAGAUGGGAAACGAAAUACCUUCAAUUUUGCUGNNNNNNNNNNNNNNNNNNNNNNNNNNNNNNNNNNNNNNNNNNNNNNNNNNNNNNNNNNNNNNNNNNNNNNNNNNNNNNNNNNNNNNNNNNNNNNNNNUUUUGUCUCCUUUGAAGCUUUUUGUCUUCAAUCUUUGAGUUUCCAUGCUGCAAGUUUCUGAAAUCAAGAUCUGUGUUUUUUUUAGGGCAGAGAAGUUGUUGAUGGGUGGUGGACUACUGGACUGAGGGAUAUUGGAAAGGGCUCGAAUGGGUGUAUCGUACUGGAAAAAACCAGAGAGAUGGAGAGGGUUUUGUUGAGGAAGAUGAUAAAGAACAUGGCGCAGAGAAGAACGACUCAAGAAGACGACUAAGACUCUAAUUAGGAUUUAGGUUAAUUGAUAUAAUUUCUAAUAUUUUGCUGACAAGAGGGGUUGCUCUGAUGGUAAGCAACCUCCACUUCCAACCAACAGGUUAUGAGUUCGAGUCUCCCCAAGAGCAAGAUGGGAAGUUCUUGGAUGGAAGGAUGCCGAGGGUCUAUUUGGAAACAGCCUCUCUACCUAAGGGUUGGGUUAAGGUCUGCGUACACACUACCCUCCCCAGACCCCACUAAGUGGGAUUAUACUGGGUUGUUGUUGUUGUUGUUGCUGCCACGUUGAUUAUUGAGAUAAACACUUCAAAAGUUUUAAGUGAGUGAAUAGGUUAAAAAAUAAAAUAAGUAUUGAAGAAUGUAUUUAAAUUAUAAAAUAAAAUACAUAUAUAAGUUUUUGCAAACUCCAAGGAAAUUUUACUCAUUCAGAAUAUAUUUUUACAAUUAUAAUCAAUAAAUAAAAUUUUAGUUGGUUUAAAUCUCUAAAUAUUAAAGAUAUUAACAUUAAAGAUAUUAUAAUUAAAAGAAUAGACUACACUUUAAUGGCAUAAGUAUAUUUUUCAGAAAAAUAAUUAUAUAAAAUAAUGUAUAUACAAUAGUUUAAUUAUUUCAUUUAAGAAAAAUUUUAUAUCGGAUGACACUUUGAAAUGCUUUAUAAAAAUAUGAUAUUUACAUUCCUAAUGUGUGUGUACUUACAAAAAAAAAGUAUGGAGGAAAAGAGCCAAAAAGAGCAAAACCUCUUUUUUCAAAAUUAUUUGAUUUAGAUAAGAUAAAAUUACAAUUAUGUCCAAUGUGAAACAUAGUUUUAAGGGGUAAAAAAAAUGGCGAACGACAUUUCGCUAAGGAUAUUCGUGCUUUUAAUAUAGUAUAUACUUAUUAUAUAAUGAAUCGCACAAAGUUUAAUCACAUAUUUCUUCGGGGCUACUACUUAACUCUAUCCAGUUUACCAUUAAUAAGACAUUACGAUAUGUUUAGGGGCGCCAAACAUUUAUUUCAUUUUAUUAGUAUAAGUUUUAUAUAACGAAUCGCACAAUGUUUAAUCACAUAUUUCUUCGGGACUACUACUUAACUCUAUCCAGUAUUAGUAAGACAUUACGAUAUGUUUAGGGGCGCCAAGGGUCGAUUGGAAACAGCCUCUCUACCCUUUCGGGUAGGGGUAAGGCUUGUGUAUGUAUUACCCUCCCAGACACCACUUUCUUCGGGACUACUACUUAACUCUAUCCAGUUAACCGUUAAUAAUACAUUACUAUACGUUUAGUUCUCAAACAAUCAAUUAGUCGAUCAUACUAACCAAUCAAACGUGUUAAACAUUUAUUUCAUUUUAUUAGUAUAAGUUUUAUAUAACGAAUCGCACAAUGUUUAAUCACAUAUUUCUUCGGGACUACUACUUAACUCUAUCCAGUUAACCGUUAAUAAGACAUUACAAUAUGUUUAGUUCUCAAGCAAUCAAUUAAUCGAUCAUACUGACCAAUCAAACGUGCUA
rnacentral:lncRNA from 1 species